AUGCGAUAAUCAAUCGCAACAGCCUGCAAUCUCUCUCAGUCACCUGUUUCUCCAGCGAUCGCAUUUUUCCUUUCCCUUUGCUAAAGCAACGUCUUAAGUCUGUCUGCAGACCAUAGCAGAGAUGACCAGGCAGAAGCUCGGAACCUGCAGACCGGGUCACGGCACCACCGGACGGAUCGUAGAGGAGCUUGAGAGGACAGCAGCAGACAAGAGGAGCGAGGAGCAGCCCAUCCCUGAGGUGUGUCUGUACGAGAAGCCUCCAGCUGUUGCGAGCCGCAGGCACCUGGCCAGAUAUCAGCGGCCUGCACCCCGGUCAAGCCACCGUCCCACGCCAUGGAGAACUUCAAUUACAGUGGGAUUCUCAGAGCGGAGAGCGAGGGGCUUGCAUUGAUUGAGGAGGGCAACAAUUGAUUUUGUCCAUUACGUGGUGAGAAUGUUUCCAUCCUGCACAGAUCAGGUUGCCCUCCUCCUGUGGGUGGAGAUAAGAGGCUGCUGCAUUGUGGCUGCCUAAUCUGUGUGACGGCACUUGUCUGUGCUGAAAUUGAUGUGGCUUUUCAUGCAGCCGCGUGUGGGUCUCCAUCGGGGGGGUCUGUUCCUCUGCACCCCCGUCUCAGAUCCACUCGGCGCACUGAGUGCAGCGCAAAUCAGCAAA